UACGGAGGGUGCAAGCGUUGUCCGGAUUUAUUGGGUUUAAAGGGUGCGUAGGCGGGCAGGUUAGUUCGUGGUGAAAGACGAUCGCUCAACGGUGGCAGUGCCAUGGAUACUGCUUUUCUUGAAUAUGGUUGAGGCCGGUGGAAUUGAUGGUGUAGCGGUGAAAUGCUUAGAUAUGGCCAAGAACUCCAAUUGCGAAGGCAGCCGACUGGGCCAGCAUUGACGCUCAGGCACGAGAGUGCGGGGAUCAAACAGG
rnacentral:rRNA from 1 species